GACGAACGCUGGCGGCGGGCUUAACACAUGCAAGUCGAACGGAAGGGCCCUGCUUUUGUGGGGUGCUCGAGUGGCAAACGGGUGAGUAACACGUGAGUAACCUGCCCUGGACUUUGGGAUGACUUCAGGCAACUGGGGCUAAUACCGGCUAGGAGCUCCUGCUGCAUGGGGGGGGUUGGAAAGUUUCGGCGGUUGGGGCUGGACUCGCGGCUUAUCAGCUUGUUGGUGGGGGAGUGGCUUACCAAGGCUUUGACGGGUAGCCCGCCUGGGAGGGUGACCGGCCACAUUGCGCCUGCGAUACGGCCCAGACUCCUACGUGAGGCAGCAGUGGGGAAUAUUGCACAAUGGGCGGAAGCCUGAUGCAGCAACGCCGCGUGCGGGAUGACGGCCUUCGGGUUGUAAACCGCUUUCGCCUGUGACGAAGCGUGAGUGACGGUAAUGGGUAAAGAAGCACCGGCUAACUACGUG
rnacentral:rRNA from 1 species